rnacentral:miRNA from 1 species
GGAUACCCAGUUAAAUUCAAAUUUCCAAUGAGCAAUGAAUACUUUUUAGUAUAAGUAUAGCCCGCGCAAUAUUUGGGAUAUACUUAUACUAAAGACAUUUGUUUUUAUCUGAAAUUCAAAU